CUCCUCGUGAUCACAGAGCAUCUCCUAAUAUUCAUUUCAUGUUUGAUCACGAGACUGGUCCCUCAUAGUCAAUAAGGAGGGAUGCUUCUGUACCAUAAUUAGGGAGUAGAGUAGAUCCCUUAGAGAUCAGACUUGCAGACGAUCAGAUUAAGUUAAUUUUCUAGCAUGUUGCUUCCAUUUUAUCCCAGCAGUUUGCCACCUC
rnacentral:lncRNA from 1 species